rnacentral:rRNA from 1 species
GACGAACGCUGGCGGCGUGCCUAACACAUGCAAGUCGAACGAAAAGACCAGGCUCUUGUGGCGUGCUCGAGUGGCGAACGGGUGAGUAACACGUGAGUAAACUCUCCUUGUCAUUGGGAUAACUUCAGGAAAAUGCGGCUCUUACCCGAGAGAAGCUCCUGCUGCAUGGUGGGGGUUGGUAAGAUUCGGCGGUUGUGGAUGGUCUAGAGGCUUAUCAGCUUGAUGGUCUAGUAGUGGCUUUCGAAGGUUUUGACGGGUAGGCGGCAUGAGAGAGGGAACGGGCACAUUAGGACUGAGAGACGGACCAGACGGGUACGGGAGGCAGCAGUGGGGAGUAUUGCAGAAUGGGCGGAAGCGAGAUGCAGCAGUGUCGGGUGCGGGAUGCCGGCCUUCUGGUUGUAAACCACUUUGGCAUGUACCGAGGAGGGCGUGACGGUAAUUGGUCAAGAAGCACCGGCUAACUACGUG